UACGAAUGGGGCAAGCGUUGUUCGGAAUCACUGGGCUUAAAGUGUGCGCAGGCGGCCAUGCAAGUCAGAAGUGAAAUCCCUGGGCUCAACCCAGGAAUUGCUUUUGAAACUGCACGGCUAGAAUCCGGUAGAGGUUGGGAGAAUUCCAAGUGUAGAGGUGAAAUUCGCAGAUAUUUGGAGGAAUACCAGUGGCGUAGGCGCCCAACUGGACCGGUAUUGACGCUCAUGCACGAAAGCGUGGGGAGCAAACAGG
rnacentral:rRNA from 1 species